GAUCUGAAAUUAUUAAAUAAGAAAUGAGCUACGCUAUCCCAGUAAGAAUAUCACGCUAUUCAACGACAUAGAAAUAAAGGUUGGUAGAAAAAUCAAAACAACUAAUGGAACUCUUAAUUAAACAAAUUCAUUUAUCAUAAACAAAAUCCUUUGCCAUCUAUUUACCGUAGUGAGAUUUACAAAACAACUUAUAGAGAUAAUAACAUAACUCAAAUAAUGAUUUCAUAUGCAAUCGAUUUGAAUAAC
rnacentral:lncRNA from 1 species